ACUCAUGACCAUCAUAUUACGGAAGCCCGCUUAUCAUAUACGCUACCGGCGCAUCUUAGAUUACGCCACCGGAUUGCUGAUCUUAACUACCUCGGUGACGAUGUCUGAUGUAUACCCAAAACCCUGCUUAAGUCUUCCGCUAGUUUUCCAGAAAAGCUUGUUGGCUUUUUGGUAUUCUUCCCUAAAUCAAUUUUCCCGGCUACUGUUAGAUGGGUAUUCUUGGAACCCUAAAUCAGAUUAUCUUGGAAAAUUCGAAACUCGAGACCUUGAUAUUUGUGUCUUAAGGAUGUUCAAGAAUUUGGUGAGGGUCACAAGGGUUGUUGAGGAGUUGGCUUUCAACAGCCUCGAUGCUGGUGCCACCAAGGCACUCAUUUACCCUUUCAAUGUUUCAAUACUCUUUAUGAUUUUACUAGGAUCUGGUGUUUCAUGAGAUGGACUGGUGCUGAACUGCUGAUUGGAGAAAUAUAUGCAACAUCAAAUAUGGCCAUUCAGAUGAUAUGCAUGCUUUCGCAGCAAGCUUUGGUUUUCAAAGGAGAGGCUCUGAGCUAUAUUUCUGAUGUUUCUUUGUUGGAAAUUGUUACUAAACCUCACUGGAGGCCAAAUGAAUAUCGGUAGGUUUUGAAGGUAAAGUUCUUUUGAGAUUCAGUUGGUAGUAUCCAUUAGGAUAGGUAUAAAACUACUAACCUAGUGUUUGUUCUUGUCAUUGUUUACAAGACGGCAAGUGUUUGUACCUUGGAAUUGAUGAUUGUAGACAAGAUGUUGGUGCAACAGGUAAUUCUGUAUAAGAGGCUCGAUGUUGUGGGAAUGCUCCUUAGAAAGAGCUGCAUCACGACUAGACAAUUAUCUGACUAUAGUCACGACUCUGUCAGAAAGUUAUAGGAACGAGGUUUGACUCUAUUCGAAUGGUUGUCAGAGAUUGGCAUGACAUCACUAGAAAUAUCAUUGGAAAGAGGUCUUCUUGACCAGUUGCCAAAAAGAGGCAUCUUCACUCUGUAAUGACCACUGGAGAGAGAUAAGAUACUGAAGAGAGAAUGAUUGAUUGUAAAUGGUGCCAGGCUUUGGCUAAGGCUGCCUGCCAGCAGGUCUAACCUGUAUGAGAUACAAUCCACAUCUUAGAGGAACUAGUUUCAUUUGAACACUAACGUCCUAACAGUUUUAAUAAAUACUAAAAAUUAUUAAUUUAGAAUGAGGGGAUUAAGAAAAUCUAGAAUAGGUUGUGAGGAAGUGACAAAUUUUUCUUAUUUUUCUUUGAUGAGUGGAGGAAGUGGGAACACAUGUAAUCAGAGGACUGCGUUUGGUUCCUCCUAGUUUUCGACUGAAGACCAUGGACUAGAUAGGAUUACUAAAUUUUCUUUCAACUAAUUAUGAUGACAUUUUGCAAUGAACUUGAAAGGAAGCUAUUGACUUUAAUGCCAUGCUAUUUGUUAGAAAUGCUGCUCAUCACCAGCUCAUAGUUUCCAUUUUGUUUGACUUAUCACCACAAAGAAAAUACAAGAAAUGGUGCGUGGGGGGUAGGCGUGGUUCUUGUUUGUCUAUUUGACAUGCAUUUGAACAUGUCACUUGUUCAUUUUUGUUCCAUGUUUAUUGUGCUAUCAAAUUGCCAGAAAUGAUGUGCAGUGUUAUACCUUUGUUGGCUCCAUUGAUACUGAUUGUCUUAAUCUUAUAAAGUUAUUUUGUUGUAUUUUUUCAAGAAUCUCUUAUGGUGCCUGGUUGGAUUUUAAUGUUACUUGUAGGAUUGGCCCAUCCUUCUCUUUAUUGAGGAUACUGUCGCGAAUCUCUAGACUGGAAGUAACACUGUUGAUCAUGCUUGAAAUUGGUUACCAAUUACUACACAACUAUGCUCCAAAUUCUAAAUUGGGGUUGGAUCUGCAACAUUCAUUUUCAAACUUCAAGAUCAUUUACCAGGUAGAUUACGAUCUUUGUUUAAAUUUUUAUCACACAACGAAUCUAUGGAACUUGAUAAAAUUGCGAUUUACUAGAAAUUCCAUUACACUAAACUUUGCAACAUUCAUUAAAGUUAAACCUAACUCUGAGCAUGAAGUUUUAUGUUUUGAUUAAAGUAGGAACUUAAAUCUGAUUCACAAGCAGCCAACAGCUGUCACACUUCUUGUGGUAACAUUCUCUAAUACUUGCCUCUGUCAUAUUAUACACUCAAAAAGUUAAGUACAUGUAAACCAUUUGCAAAUCAGUCUUAGAAGGGAAAGGUAUUGUUCUACUGAUUGUAGUUGUUAAUACAGGAUUAGUUGCUCACCUACAUUCUCAAACCUUUCUACACUUUAUAGCUUAUUGUCUUCAACAUUCAUAUUCCUCCCUCUGAAGGAUAUAUGCCUGUCUAAAUGUGGAAAACAAAGCAUGACAGGCAAUUCUUCUCAGGUUGGUUAUUCCUUUCUGAGGUAUCAAUAAUAGUUCUGUGGUCCAUCUUGUUGAAUGAAAGCAAGAAGGAUUUUUGAGGGUUUAAAGUCUUUCAAGUGUCAUUUGUGCGCAUUGUUUCUUAAGGUCCAUUCUAUGUUUUAAUUGGGUUGAUUAAAGCAAGUGAAUUAUGAAUUGUUACUUAUAAGGGAAGAGUUUUUUUGUUCUAAUACCAUCAGUGCUAGCGGUUCUCUCUUUUUGAAUUAUAAGGCCAUGAAGCUUGAAUAGCUUCCUACUUAAUUUGGAAAACUAUUCAUGCCAUCAUUCAUGUUUUAGGAAAUACUCCACUAGAUAACAAGAUUCUCUUGCAUGUGUUUCAUAAGAAAAUGAUUAUUUUCUUGAUAAUAUAGGUUCCUUAUUUUGUGCAUCAAUCUAACUGAUGUGAAUCUGUUAGAAUUUAUUCAACAAGUUAGUCCAGUCCAUCGACUCUAACUAGCUCUCAUAUUUUUCUCCUUCAUUUAACUCUAAUCUUUCUCAUGGAAUCUUGCUUAAGUUCUUGCUUAAAUGCCAUGUCAUGUUCUCUGAAUAAUGUAUUUGCAACCCAUAGCUUGCUGAUACAGAUGGAUCAUCAAUAGUAUCCCCAUCAAGACUUGGGUCCUGAAUAAUCAAGACUUGCAUGAGUAAGUUAAUAUUGAACUUGUCAAUUUGGAGCUACCUUGAUGCUCUCUUGCCUCCACCCACCCCCACAUAAGAAAAAGAGAAAGAUCAGGGAAUUAGAACAAAAAAUGAUUUAAGAUAUUUUUCUUUAUUCCUGAUGUCUUUGUUCAUUUGUGUUGGAACAAUAACUUCGAUAUGGAUAGAGUGGAACAGAUACAGAGGAAUGAGGAUCUAUGCAACAACCAUCUGAUUUUGUGGGUGAAGCAUAAUUGAUGGAUUGAUUCCUGAUGUUGCUAUUCUAUUUAUUUGUUUAUUUUCGUAGGUGCAAUUAUGUUUGGAGAUGCGUUGUUUCCUUUAGAAUAUUCUCUCAUUGUUGAGGAGUUGAAGCAGAAUUCAUUGUGUUUUCAAGUGAGUGAAAAAAUGCAUUUCAGGAAAUAUCUGUGUUGGUGGAACUGCAUUUGAUGUCUAACUAUGGUGUUGUAUGCUUCCUUUACACCAGCAACAUCAAAAUACAGCCAUUCAAAUGAUAUGCAUGCUUUCCCAGCAAGCUUUGGCUUUAAAGGACGGCAAGUGUUUGUACCUUGGAAUUGAAGUGUUUGUACACUUGCCAUUGUUUACAGGAUGGCAAGUGUUUGUACUUUGGAAUUGGUACAACAGGAUCUGGUGUUUCACGAGAUGGACUGAUACUGAUGGGAGAAAUAUAUGAUUUUGUUCAUUUGCAUGCCGUGAGGAUGACCUGCUUUGCACACGUGCUUCUCCUUCCCCAUUGCAGCUAUUGUCCAGUGGGUUUGGGAUUCAUCUGAGUUCCCUUAAUAAAUCGAAUGCAAGCGAUGGUCCAUUCAAGCUCUCAGGAUAUAUCUCAGGUCCUGAUACACAGUGAAGAAGCCCUCUCAACUGCAAAACCGGAACUUCAUAAGCUAUCGGCGCAUCUUAGGUACUCCACUGGAUCGCUGCUCUUAACUGCCACAGUGACGAUGUCUGAUCAAAAUCUUAAACCCUAUAUCAAUUUUUCCGCUGAUCUAUCUGCUCAAUGACCUCAAAAUACUGCCAUUCAGACGAUAUGCAUGCUUUCGCAGCAAGGUUUGGCUUUAAAAGAGAAGGCUCUGAGCUCUAUUUCUAACGUUUCUUUGUUGGAGAUUGUUACUAAAGCUCAUGGGAGGCCAAUGGAUAUCGUAAGGUUUGAAGGACGGCAAGUGUUUGUACCUUGGAGUUGAUGAUUGUAGACAAGAUUCAUUGUUCGUGAUGUAUUUUACAACCAACCAGUUCGAAGGAAGCAAAUGCACUCCAAUCCAGAGAAUGUCUUGCAUUCUCUGAAAGAGUCUCUGUUCUCGUACAUCCUCUCCUUCAAAUUAUUGAUAUUGAAAGUGAGGAUGACCUGUGUUGCACACAUGCUUCUCCUUCUCCAUUACCUCUAUUGUCCAGUGAGUUUGGGAUUCAUCUGAGUUCCCUUAACAACUUGAAUGCAAGUGAUGGUUCAUUCAAGCUCUCAGGAUACAUUUCAGGUGUACUACAAAUAUAUGAUAGAGAAAGAAGCUAUGAAUUGUACUUUAAGCAAAUUCAAUGAGGCAGAUCUCACAUUUUACACAAUCAAAGAAGAGAAGAGGCUAAAAUUUCAAAUAAAAGAAAGGUAAAAACUAUUUUGCAAUUUUGACUUUUCUUAGUUGGAUUGUUGGAUAAAGAGAAAAAGGGGAGAAGAAGUGUAGAUGAUGGAGAAAAAUUAGAGAUUUCGAUGUUCGAUUGAUAAUAAAUUCUUUCACUUGCA